rnacentral:ncRNA from 1 species
AUCUUCAGGGCGGGGUGUGAUUCCCCACUGGCGGUAAAGUCCGCGACCUGCCAAGGCAGCCGAAUCGGUGAAACUCCGGUACCAACAGUAUAGUCUGGAUGAAAGAAGGUA